CUGCGGAUUGGCUAGGGGAGGAUGAGAACCGAAAGAGGUUCGACGAAGGCGCGAAAGCGCCGGAGAACGCCGCGCAGGGCGCGGUGGCCCGGAGGGCGGAAUGCCGCAGGCAUGGAGUAAUCCUCCCCCCCCCUCCA
rnacentral:sRNA from 1 species